UAUCUCUCCGUACGGGGAAGGAUGAGAAGCUUCGACCAAGGUUCGAUUCGAGCGAAAGCGAGAAAGCGUUGCCGCAGGCAACGACCCGAAGGGCGAAGCGCGCAGCGCUGAGUAAUCCUUCCCCCACCACCA
rnacentral:sRNA from 2 species